rnacentral:rRNA from 1 species
AACCUCCGCAAUGUGAGAAAUCGCGACGGGGGGAUCCCAAGUGCCAUUCUUAACGGGAUGGCUUUUCAUUAGUGUAAAGAGCUUUUGGAAUAAGAGCUGGGCAAGACCGGUGCCAGCCGCCGCGGUAACACCGGCAGCUCUAGUGGUAACAAUUUUUAUUGGGCCUAAAGCGUCCGUAGCCGGUUUAAUAAGUCUCUGGUGAAAUCCUGUAGCUUAACUGUGGGAAUUGCUGGAGAUACUAUUAGACUUGAGACCGGGAGAGGUUAGAGGUACUCCCAGGGUAGAGGUGAAAUUCUGUAAUCCUGGGAGGACCGCCUGUUGCGAAGGCGUCUAACUGGAACGGUUCUGACGGUGAGGGACGAAAGUUAGGGGCGCGAACCGGAUUAGAUACCCGGAUAGUCCUAACUGUAAACGAUGCGGACUUGGUGUUGGGGUGGCUUUGAGCUGCUCCAGUGCCGAAGGGAAGCUGUUAAGUCCGCCGCCUGGGAAGUACGGUCGCAAGACUGAAACUUAAAGGAAUU